rnacentral:tmRNA from 1 species
GAGGGGCGGUUGGCCUCGUAAAAAGCCGCAAAAAAUAGUCGCAAACGACGAAAACUACGCUUUAGCAGCUUAAUAACCUGCUCUGAGCCCUCUCUCCCUAGCUUCCGCUCUUAAGACGGGGAUCAAAGAGAGGUCAAACCCAAAAGAGAUCGCGUGGAUGCCCUGCCUGGGGUUGAAGCGUUAAAUCUAAUCAGGCUAGUUUGUUAGCUGUCUCUUAUACACAU